GAAAGAUACGUCAUUGAGUGCAGCGUUGAUGUCGAAACUUAUUUCAAAGUUCUAACUUUUCUCAUCAGCGCUUCAUUCAAUCACGUUUCUU
rnacentral:pre_miRNA from 1 species